GCCAAACGGCAGAUGAUCGCCCUAUACCCUUCUCGUUCUUGCGAGUCGGGCCGGGAGGAAAGUCCGAGCUCCCCCCGAUGUCCUCGGGGCAAAUGAUAGUGGGUAACGCCCACCGAUGUGCUGGUGACAGUACGUUAGGGACAGUGCCACAGAGACAAUACUACCCCGACGCAAUGUCGGGGGAAAGGUGAAAAGUGUUUGAAUGUUUUUGUUCUAUAGACAAAAGCUACCAAACUUCCCGAUUUUAUCGGGAUGGUAAACCCUAUCAGGAGAAAGAGCAGCCCUUCGACUCGCUUCGCUCGCUCAGGGCAAGCGUCUUGAUUGGAAAAGUUAGCUCGUUUGAUCCCGACAGCAAUGUCUGGACAAGAGAAAUGAUCAUCGGACCACGAAUUUGGACCACGAAUAACCUUCAAAUAAUUCAUGUUCAAUUCGUGUCAAGAUUCGUGUCUCAAAUUCGUGGUCCACAGAACUCGGCUUAUCGCCGUUUGGUAUAA
rnacentral:RNase_P_RNA from 5 species